rnacentral:rRNA from 1 species
AACGAACGCUGGCGGCAGGCUUAACACAUGCAAGUCGAACGGAUGCAGCAAUGCAUCAGUGGCGCACGGGUGAGUAACACGUGGAUAUCUGCCUUUUGGUUCGGAAUAACCCUGGGAAACUAGGGCUAAUACCGGAUGGUUCCUACGGGAUAAAGAUUUAUCGCCAAAAGAUGAGUCCGCGUCCGAUUAGCUAGUUGGUGAGGUAAUGGCUCACCAAGGCGACGAUCGGUAGCUGGUCUGAGAGGACGAUCAGCCACACUGGGACUGAGACACGGCCCAGACUCCUACGGGAGGCAGCAGUGGGGAAUAUUGGACAAUGGGGGGCAACCCUGAUCCAGCCAUGCCGCGUGAGUGAUGAAGGCCUUAGGGUUGUAAAGCUCUUUUGCCAGGGAAGAUGAUGACUGUACCGCAAGAAUAAGCCCCGGCUAACUUCGUGCCAGCAGCCGCGGUAAU